UACGGGGGGGGCAAGCGUUGUUCGGAAUUAUUGGGCGUAAAGGGCUCGUAGGCGGCCAACUAAGUCCGACGUGAAAUCCCUAAGCUUAACUUGGGAACUGCGUCGGAUACUGGAUGGCUUGAAUUCGGGAGAGGGAUGCAGAAUUCCAGGUGUAGCGGUGAAAUGCGUAGAUAUCUGGAGGAAUACCGGUGGCGAAGGCGGCAUCCUGGACCGACAUUGACGCUGAGGAGCGAAAGCCAGGGGAGCAAACGGG
rnacentral:rRNA from 1 species